GGGCGAGUUUGCUGGAGAAAAAUUAACGGCAUUUAACCAUUUUCACAAAGGGGCGAGUUGGUAAACUAGUUUGAGGCAAGAUUUUUUUUUAAAUGUGGCGAGUUGGUAAAAAAGUGGGGCGAUUUGACCUGCUCCCAUGAAGUAGAUGUUCCUACACGACCUGUGUCGGACUAAUCGGUCGUCGGGCUAUUGCAGUGUCAAACUAAAAGAGUGUGGAGUAGUUGGAAUUAAGAGGAGACCUAGCUGGCCUUAGUGAAUGCGUGACGCUCACCACCGACGUGACACCCGAACUUUUACACAGCAGAAAAUAGUAAAAUAGAAAGCUUGAGGCCAUGGAUAGACUUUCAACACAACUCCUCCUAUACACUCUAUAGUGUCAAAUAGAGCUGAUGGGCUGGCACAGCUUAAACAUUGAAAGAUGAACGUUAUUAAAUGAAAAUCAAAAUGUAAAAUUUUCAUUCAUGCUUUUACCCACC
rnacentral:lncRNA from 1 species